AUGAACACUCUGAACUAAUCCUAGCCCUAGCAACACAAAACACAACUAUUUUAUUACCUAAACCAAAACAUUUAAUUUACUUAUAGUAUUGGAGAAAGAAAUAAACGAAUAUACCUAGGAGCCAUAGAGUAAGUACCGUAAGGGAAAGAUGAAAGACUAAUUAAAAGUAAAAAAAAGUAAAGAUUAAACCUUGUACCUUUUGCAUAAUGCAUUAACUAGAAAACUUCUAACUAAAAGAAUUAUAGCUAGAAA
rnacentral:rRNA from 1 species